UACGGUAGGGUGCAAGCGUUAAUCGGAAUUACUGGGCGUAAAGCGUGCGCAGGCGGUUGUGUAAGACAGAUGUGAAAUCCCCGGGCUCAACCUGGGAACUGCAUUUGUGACUGCACGGCUCGAGUGCGGCAGGAGGGGGAUGGAAUUCCGCGUGUAGCAGUGAAAUGCGUAGAGAUGUGGAGGAACACCGAUGGCGAAGGCAGCCCCC
rnacentral:rRNA from 1 species